ACCAAACAGAAUAGCCGUGAGUGUGAGCAUCUCCCCCAAAAGCAGCAAGAUCCCAAGCAGGGUCACUCUCCACAUGGCACUGCCGAAGAUUGGGCCACCACUCCCCCACUCCAUCCUGCCUGGAGAAUCAGGACAGGGCUCACUGCUCCUUCAUCUCCACAGUGCACCAGGCCCUCAGAACCACCGAGAGUGCCUCCUGAGGGGGCCCCACCUGAGCCAUGGGCUUCGACAGGGGACACUCUCUCCAGCCUCUGUGAGGAUAACUGCCCACUGCCCUGCCUUGACGUCCUGCUCUACACCAGGCACUUUACCUUAUCUGCAAACACCACUCUGGGCAGAUGUACCCUACUCCCACCCUGCAGAGGGCCAGCUGAGGCCCAGGAGGCAGAGCAGCACACGAAGAUGACAGUGCUGGAACCCAGAAGUCUGACCCGGGAGGCCAAGCAUGCUGCCUGACCAAUUUCACCUGGAGAAACCUUAACACAGACAUACCUGAUGAUGUUCCUUCCCGGAGAGAAGCCACCAAACCGCUCAAAACUGCAGAUGGCCACACCCUUUCCCUGGAGAUGUUUGCCACACUCUGCAGAACUGACAGAGUGUCCACCCAGCUGUCUGUCGAUGGGCAGCUCAGCCUGUGACCCUGAAGCCAACCUGUGCCCAGCACCAACAGGGGACAAGUCCUUCCAUACUACGGACCAAGCAGAAAGCUGGAAAUAGAGCUCAAUCACCAAGAAUGGAUGUGGGCAUCAUGCUGAGGGCUGAGGUGAACAGGACUGCAGUGCCUGGCUUCCCGGCGAGUGUAUGCAGGUCACCAGGGCCACCUAGCAGACGAGGUAGGCCCAGUACGGGUUGUAGGAGGUGGACUGGGCUCCUGGCCAGCGCAGGCCCGUGUGAGCAUGCUCAUGCCGCGCAGACACUGGGCUCCUGCUGUGGGCCUGACAGGAGACAGAUGCGCAGACCCUACCACAUUCUGCAGACGGCGGCACUGCACAUGUGGCAGAGAGGCGGCAGCUGCUAGGGCUGACAGCUCUGACCAGCCAAGAAGCAAGCGGCUCCUUUCGGCUCAGUCACUUGUGGUGACAGUGAUCGACGCUUAAGAGCAUCCUCCCUCUGGCCACCCAGGGUGUAUGGCAGUGUUCCAGAUUCACCUGCCUAGGACAGGACCAGUGGCGUGGUCCCCAGUGCCCAGGGGAGGAAUGUGUGGGCCUGGCAGAGCCAUUUCCAGACAGAGCCAAUUUGAUUGGGUAUGAACAGGAAGCGGCAGGUCCUUCCACGGCCAAGACACACGGACUGUGACCUGCAAAGCCCCGGAGACGCUUAACCAAAUAGGGAUAUCAACCUU